rnacentral:rRNA from 1 species
UACGGGGGGGGCAAGCGUUGUUCGGAAUUACUGGGCGUAAAGGGCGUCGUAGGCGGCCAACUAAGUCAGACGUGAAAUCCCUCGGCUUAACCGGGGAACUGCGUCUGAUACUGGAUGGCUUGAGUUUGGGAGAGGGAUGCGGAAUUCCAGGUGUAGCGGUGAAAUGCGUAGAUAUCUGGAGGAACACCGGUGGCGAAGGCGGCAUCCUGGACCAAUACUGACGCUGAGGAGCGAAAAGCCAGGGGGAGCAAACGGGG